rnacentral:pre_miRNA from 1 species
UAAAAUGUAGGUUGUGGAUGAGUGACACCAUCUUUAAUACAAAGGUUACAUCCACAACCUAUGUAUUAAAGAUGGUGUCACUCAUCCAUAACAUACGUAU